rnacentral:snRNA from 1 species
GUGCUUGCUUUGGCUGCACAUAUCCUAAAAUUGGAGCAAUACAGAGAAAAUUAGCAUGGCCCCUGAAUAGGCAGGCUGCACAAAUUUUUGAAAAAAAAAAAAAAAAA